CGCCGAGCUGCCGUGCUCUCAGCCUGGGAUGGAAAACACAAGCGGGCGGCUGCGACCCAGCGGGGAGCGAGCGUCUCCUCGAGCCGAGCUGUGCUCUGGCAGUCCUUGAUGUGCCCAGCCCUGCAGUGCACCCUAAGCCAUGGAUAGAACACAGAGGGAUGGAAGGAUGCCCUGAGGGACGCGCUGUAGAACUGGAAGGGCACCCAGGGGCCAUCGGAAUGGCUGCGCUUGUAAAUGGCGAAGCUCUCGGGGCGACUGGUGUGG